AUUGAACGCUGGCGGCAGGCCUUACACAUGCAAGUCGAGCGGAGCGGCGGUCGCGUGAGUAAUGCCAAGGAAUCUGCCUGGUAGUGGGGGAUAACGUCCGGAAAUGGGCGGUUAUGCUGCAUACUAUCAUUUUCGGAUAGGUCGGAUUCGGUUGUGGGUGGGGUAAAGGCCUACAAAGGCGACGCUCCGUAACUGGUCUGGGAGGAUGAUCAGUCACACUGGAACGGAGACACGGUCCAGACUCCUACGGGAGGCAGCAGUGGGGAAUAUUGGACAAUGGGCGAAAGCCUGAUCCAGCCAUGCCGCGUGUGUGAAGAAGGUCUUCGGAUUGUAAAGCACUUUAAGUUGGGAGGCGUUACCAACAGAAUAAGCACCGGCUAACUACGUGCCAGCAGCCGCGGUAAUUC
rnacentral:rRNA from 1 species